rnacentral:lncRNA from 1 species
AAAGGUUUUUUUUUUUUUUUUUUAAGAAAUAGGUAGCACGCUAUCUGCUUUGUUUAUUUUAUUUAGAAAUAAACUUAGCGAAAAAUGUGAAUCAACUAGGAUUCGAACUUGGGUCUCAGAUACCAACCAUCAAGCCCUUUACCACUUACUCUAGAGACGGCCGGUUAUUUUUUAAUAAAAUAGUUACUGUUGAAAGAUGGAAUGUGUGGAUCUUUUUUUACAAAAGU